rnacentral:tRNA from 1 species
GCCACUAUAGCUCAAUGGUAGAGCAGUUGUCUUGUAAACAACAGGUUUUCGGUUCAAAUCCGAAUGGUGGCUCCA